rnacentral:misc_RNA from 1 species
AACGCACCUUGCGCCCUUUGGUAUUCCGAAGGGCAUGCCUGUUUGAGUGUCAUUAAAUUCUCAACCUUGAAAGGCUUUACAAGUUUUUCAAGGCUUGGAUCUGGAGGCUGCGGGCUUCAUUCUUUGAAGUCGGCUCCUCUUAAAUGCAUUAGCUGGGUUUGCGCCUUCAGCCUAUUGGUGUGAUAAUUAUCUACGCCUCCUGGCCGUUAGCGUGUUAUACCUCUCCAGCUUCUAACCGUCUCUUGUAGACAAUCUUUGACCAUUUGACCUCAAAUCAGGUAGGACUACCCGCUGAACUUAA